rnacentral:rRNA from 1 species
AGUGAACGCUGGCGGUAGGCCUAACACAUGCAAGUCGAACGGCAGCACAGUAAGAGCUUGCUCUUACGGGUGGCGAGUGGCGGACGGGUGAGGAAUACAUCGGAAUCUACUUUUUCGUGGGGGAUAACAUAGGGAAACUUACGCUAAUACCGCAUACGACCUACGGGUGAAAGCAGGGGAUCUUCGGACCUUGCGCGAUUGAAUGAGCCGAUGUCGGAUUAGCUAGUUGGCGGGGUAAAGGCCCACCAAGGCGACGAUCCGUAGCUGGUCUGAGAGGAUGAUCAGCCACACUGGAACUGAGACACGGUCCAGACUCCUACGGGAGGCAGCAGUGGGGAAUAUUGGACAAUGGGCGCAAGCCUGAUCCAGCCAUACCGCGUGGGUGAAGAAGGCCUUCGGGUUGUAAAGCCUUUUUGUUGGGAAAGAAAAGCAGCAGGUUAAUACCCCGCUGUUCUGACGGUACCCAAAGAAUAAGCACCGGCUAACUUCGUG